rnacentral:rRNA from 1 species
GAUGAACGCUGGCGGCGUGCCUAAUACAUGCAAGUCGAGCGGACGGACGAGACGUUUGCUUCUCUGACGUUUGCCGCACGCGUGUGUGUAACAUGUGUAUAACCUCCCUAUAAGUCUGGGAUCACUUGGAAACCCCGGCGCUAACACCGGCUAAUCUCUUGAACCGCAGGGUGCACUGGUGAAAUACGGUCUUUCUGUCACUUCUAGAUGGAUCUGCGCUGCAUUAGCGAGUUGGUAGGGUAACGGGCUACCAAGGCUAGGAUGCGUGGCCGAACUGAGAGGGGGAUCGGCCACACUGGAACUGAGACACGGUCCAGACUCCUACGGGAGGCAGCAGUAGGGAAUCUUGCGCAAUGGGCGAAAGCCUGACGGAGCAACGCCGCGUGUGUGAUGAAGGCCUUCGGAUCGUAAAGCUCUGUUAUUAGGGAAGAACAUCUGUGGACUGAAACGGGCAGAGCAUGACGGUACCGGAUCAAAAAGCACCGGCUAACUACGUG